rnacentral:rRNA from 1 species
GCAAGUCGAACGAGAACGGGUAUUAGCUUGCUAAUACUGUCAGCUAAGUGGCGCACGGGUGAGUAAUAUAUAGUCAAUCUGCCCUAGAGAGAGGGAUAACGUUUGGAAACGAACACUAACACCUUAUAUGCCUUUAUUACAUAAGUAAGCAAGAGAAACAUUUAUGGCUCUAGAAUAAGACUAUACGGUAUCAGCUAGUUGGUGAGGUAAUGGCUCACCAAGGCAAUGACACCUAACUAGUUUGAGAGGAUGAUC